rnacentral:rRNA from 1 species
ACGUAGGCAGCGAGCGUUGUUCGGAGUUACUGGGUGUAAAGGGUUCGUAGGCGGUGUGGCAAGUUGGGAGUGAAAUCUCUGGGCUCAACCCAGAGGCUGCUUCCAAAACUGCUGUGCUUGAGUGUGGGAGAGGCGCGUGGAAUUGCAGGUGUAGCGGUGAAAUGCGUAGAUAUCUGCAGGAACACCCGUGGCGAAAGCGGCGCGCUGGACCACAACUGACGCUGAGGAACGAAAGCUAGGGGAGCAAACAGGA